CUGGGCUUUGAUACACAGUUAUGACCACAGCUUGUCAAAACUGUCAUAAAAUGCCCAAAGAGUAAAAUGUGCUUUCUGAUGACUAUGCUGUUUAAAGACCCUCAGCAUGGACAGAUACGAGGCAGACAAAA